CGUUGGAACCACCUGAUCCCAUCCCGAACUCAGAAGUGAAACGAUGCAUCGCCGAUGGUAGUGUGGGGUUUCCCCAUGUGAGAGUAGGUCAUCGUCAAGA
rnacentral:rRNA from 3 species